UACAGAGGUCUCAAGCGUUGUUCGGAUUCAUUGGGCGUAAAGGGUGCGUAGGCGGCGCGGUAAGUCGGGUGUGAAAUCUCGGAGCUUAACUCCGAAACUGCAUUCGAUACUGCCGUGCUUGAGGACUGGAGAGGAGACUGGAAUUUACGGUGUAGCGGUGAAAUGCGUAGAUAUCAGGAGGAACACCAAUUGCGAAGGCAGCUCGCUGGGACGUUACUGACGCUGAGACGCGAAAGCGUGGGGAGCAAACAGG
rnacentral:rRNA from 1 species